UACGUAGGGUGCAAGCGUUAAUCGGAAUUAUUGGGCGUAAAGCGUGCGCAGGCGGUUUUGCAAGUCAGAUGUGAAAUCCCCGGGCUCAACCUGGGAAUUGCAUUUGUGACUGCACGGCUAGAGUGUGUCAGAGGGGGGUAGAAUUCCACGUGUAGCAGUGAAAUGCGUAGAGAUGUGGAGGAAUACCGAUGGCGAAGGCAGCCCCCUGGGAUAACACUGACGCUCAUGCACGAAAGCGUGGGGAGCAAACAGG
rnacentral:rRNA from 1 species